ACCAUUUCCUGCUAAAGAGCAGAUGGGGGGAGCGUCUGAAUAAUGCAUUCGCGCACCCUAGGUCUUCAGCUGAGGCUGGGCGCCGGGCGGCCUCCUGCUUUCAGCCUCAGGCCUUGCUCAGCCCUGCGCCACCUGGCUGGCCCUGCCUCUGGCGGGGUACCACUGACAGGGGGUGGCCUUGGACUCGGGACUUCAGGCCGGUCUCUAAGCCACUUAUCUAGAGAAGGAGGGAGUGUCUCCAGGAAAUCAGGAGGUCAGCUGGGUACAAAUUCUCCACGCCGCGGCAGCAGACCACAGAGCAUCACUCCGACCUCUUUCCCCCAUCCCAUGGACCUUCCCUGA
rnacentral:lncRNA from 1 species